AUUGAACGCUGGCGGCAGGCCUAACACAUGCAAGUCGAGCGGAUGAAGGGAGCUUGCUCCUGGAUUCAGCGGCGGACGGGUGAGUAAUGCCUAGGAAUCUGCCUGGUGGUGGGGGAUAACGUCCGGAAACGGGCGCUAAUACCGCAUACGUCCUGAGGGAGAAAGUGGGGGAUCUUCGGACCUCACGCUAUCAGAUGAGCCUAGGUCGGAUUAGCUAGUUGGUGGGGUAAAGGCCUACCAAGGCGACGAUCCGUAACUGGUCUGAGAGGAAGAUCAGUCACACUGGAACUGAGACACGGUCCAGACUCCUACGGGAGGCAGCAGUGGGGAAUAUUGGACAAUGGGCGAAAGCCUGAUCCAGCCAUGCCGCGUGUGUGAAGAAGGUCUUCGGAUUGUAAAGCACUUUAAGUUGGGAGGAAGGGCAGUAAGUUAAUACCUUGCUGUUUUGACGUUACCAACAGAAUAAGCACCGGCUAACUUCGUG
rnacentral:rRNA from 1 species